GGCAGUAAUGCUCAUUUCCUGGAACAGAUGGUUCGUGGCCCUUGAAGCGCUGCGAUCUGUAAAGCUAGUUCUCUGCAAGGAGGCCAGAAGAGUAUAAAAACGCAAAAGAUGUUGACUUCUGAGUCCCACAUACCCGGCGUCAGCUGGUGAAUGAAAGACACGAAGGAGCUGCUGUGGAGCUGCUGUCUCCCCUCGGAGUUUGGCAGGCCCGGGAUUCCGCAAAGGAGUUGGCGGGGCCAGAUGCCUCCAGCCCUGAGCUCAGUACAUUCGGUGUCCUGGAUGCUCCCUUCCUUUCCUUAUCACUGCGAGCUCUCCUGGGACGGCCUAGAUUUCCACUGGGACCUACUUUCGGCUCCCUGCGUGCUUCAUUGCUGAAACUGCCGGCGAAAAGAUCUCUUUCUCAAGCCUCAGAG
rnacentral:lncRNA from 1 species